ensembl:lncRNA
AAGGAUUUGCCAGUAGAUUGUCAACUUGAUUCAUGAUGAUGACUGCUAGCUAAGAUUUUGAAAGUUUGAUGUUGACAUGAUCAGUCAAAGCAAAGCUACUGUAGAUAUAACGUGAUUUGACUUUUUAUCUGUGGACAAUGACUUGGAGCCUUCUUGGAUGGGCAGUUCCAAUGUAACUCUUUGGCAGCACCCAAGGUACUUGAAUUUGUUUGCUCUCCCUGUAGAUUUUGCGGUGACGUAGUUUCCCCUUGAGUGACAGAACACUGAGCCAAUCACGGUGCAACUAGAGAACAUUACUAACCCCUAUGCUCCAUAUUUUCCACUGGCUGCCCCACCGCCACAGAAAGCACUGAGCAAGCCUGAAACACCUGCAUUUUGGAGCUGCCUUCCUCAAGAAAUCAAGAGACCAUGUUUAGGACUUCAAUGCUGUCCUCAGUCCACCUGGUCGUGCUGCUGCUCCAGUUUCAACUGUUCUGCCUGCGGCUAUGGAACCCAGACCUGUUCACCGGAAAUGCUACUUUGUCCUGCUGUUUUCAUCUCUCUCUCUCUCUCUCUCUCUCUCUACCGCACCUGCUGUCUCUAACUCUGAAUGCUCGGCUAUGAAAAGGCAACUGACAUUUACUCCUGAGUUGCUGACCUGUUGCACCCUCUAGAACCACUGUGAUUAUUAUUAUUUGACAAUUUGAACAUGUUCUGUUAUAAUCUCCACCCGGCACAGCCAGAAGAGGACUGGCCACCCAUCAGAGCCUGGUUCCUAGUCGCCGUGCUUCUACAUCUGCAUUGCUUGCUGUUUGGGGUUUUAGGCUGGGUUUCUGUAUAGCACUUUGUGACAUCGGCUGAUGUAAAAAGGACUUUAUAAAUAAAUGUGAUUGAUUG